GUUUCCGUAGUGUGGUGGUUAUCACGUGUGCCUAUCAUGCACAAGGUCCUGCGUUCGAGCCCCAGCGGAAACA
rnacentral:tRNA from 1 species